rnacentral:rRNA from 1 species
UGCCAGCAGCCGCGGUAACACGGGGGGCGCAAGCGUUAUUCGGAAUUAUUGGGCGUAAAGCGCACGUAGGCGGCUUGGUCAGUCUGUUGUGGAAGCCCUCGGCUCAACCGGGGAAUUGCAUCGGAUACUGCCAGGCUUGAGGACGGUUGGGGUGAGUGGAACUCCUGGUGGAGCGGUGAAAUGCGUAGAUAUCAGGAGGAACACCAGUGGCGAAAGCGGCUCACUGGACCGUAUCUGACGCUGAGGUGCGAAAGCUAGGGUAGCGAACGGGAUUAGAUA